GAAUAUGGACGUGCUGAGGAAGGCUCUGUUCGUGCUACUUGCCUUACACAACGCUGAGUACGUGCAUAGCCAGACGGAUGUUCAGACAUUUUUUCAACGCCUUUUGUAAUGCGAAUGCAGAUAAUAUGGUCUGCCAUAGCAAGCCCCUCGUGACAGAGGGAGGCGCUGGAGGCUCUAUCCCCGGGCUG